AAGGAGAAGCCGAAGGAACCCGAUCAAGCCUGGUCGUUUUCUCCGCUGGAGACGAUGAGUGGAUCACAUGAGGAGGAGCCACACAGACCCAGGACCCCGUGAAGUCUCAGGAGGGACCGGACACAUAUGUGUGAACAGUCGCGUGUCUGUCGGUCUCCCUUUCUCUCCUAGUCCUGGGCUUGCUUUCAGCUGGGCUUGCAGUCUGAUCUUAGCCGUUAUGAUGCCCCAGAUCUGACUAUUCCCUGCUAAUGGAGCAAAACCUGUAAGAUCAGGAGCUGGUUUAUGAAAGGUCAGACAGUCUUCUGCACUCCAAAGCCCAAUAGGGAGUGAAGAAAUCCCCAGAACAGUGGAUCUGAGCAGACAAGUAAAGGUUUGGAUCAAUCUGAUGCUCUUGGUGAGAGUUUACUGAACAAGAAGCUGUUGGAAGAUUGUCGGAUUUCCACUGAAUUCAGGAAGUUCUUUGGUGUACGUAUUACUUUAUUUUGCCACUUAUUUUAUCUCUUUGCUCCUGCUGUUCAAAGUACAUUUAGCUUUGUGUUUACUUGUUGCAAAUCUUCUAGAAAACAAGUUUAUUGGCAAGAAAUAAUGAAUUUUAAAUUCAUAUUGGAAAAUCUUAAAGGAAUGCAAGUUAAAAAAAUCACUAAAGAGAAUAUUGCACUAAAAAUAUUAUUCUAAGGGUUACCUCCUCUAAUUAAAGAAGAAAAUAUCAUAUGUUCAGCAUUUAAUUUUUGAAAAAACU
rnacentral:lncRNA from 1 species